UACGUAGGGACCAAGCGUUGUUCGGAUUUACUGGGCGUAAAGGGCGCGUAGGCGGCUUAACAAGUCACUUGUGAAAUCUCCGGGCUUAACUCGGAACGGCCAAGUGAAACUGUCAAGCUAGAGUGCAGAAGGGGCAAUCGGAAUUCCAGGUGUAGCGGUGAAAUGCGUAGAUAUCUGGAGGAACACCGGUGGCGAAGGCGGCAUCCUGGACCGGUAUUGACGCUGAGGCGCGAAAGCCAGGGGAGCAAACGGG
rnacentral:rRNA from 1 species